UGGUCGUAUGGUUCUUGCUGCCGAGGGUCGCAAGGCUAAUGAUUCACACGCCGACUGCUAUCAGUAUUUUUGUGUGCCUGAGUAUGGUACAGCUAAUGGCCGUCUUCAUUUCCAUGCGGUGCACUUUAUGCGGACACUUCCUACAGGUAGCGUUGACCCUAAUUUUGGUCGUCGGGUACGCAAUCGCCGCCAGUUAAAUAGCUUGCAAAAUACGUGGCCUUAUGGUUACAGUAUGCCCAUCG
rnacentral:rRNA from 1 species